UAUACAGCCUGGGAGACUAAUGUCCUCAGAACAGGUAUGACAUAGGCAGCAGUCGUGCAAGUUUCCCCUCUCCCCUGCAAACGAACAUGGUGCCCCCUACUGUAAGUAAGGGUGAGUUCAGUCUCUAAAGCCCAUUCAGUCCUUGGCCUCU
rnacentral:sRNA from 1 species